UUCGUAGGCGGUGCGGUCAAGUUGGGAGUGAAAUCUCUGGGCUUAACUCAGAGGCUGCUUUCAAAACUGCCGUGCUCGAGUGCGGGAGAGGCCAGUGGAAUUGCAGGUGUAGCGGUGAAAUGCGUAGAUAUCUGCAGGAACACCCGUGGCGAAGGCGGCUGGCUGGACCGCGACUGACGCUGAGGAACGAAAGCUAGGGGAGCAAACAGGAUUAGAUACCCUGGUAGUCCUAGCCCUAAACCAUCAGGACUUGGGGUGGCCCGCGUAGGCGGGUCGUCUCGUAGCUAACGCGUUAAGUCCUGCGCCUGGGGAGUACGGUCGCAAGACUGAA
rnacentral:rRNA from 1 species